AGGAGACCCAGGCACAGAGGGUAGACAGCUCUGAUCCUCUGCCCGGCCCCCCCUGCUCUGGGCUCGACUCGCUAGCCUGUCUGUCUGGAGCUCUGGCUCCCAUCCUCCGCCGCCCCUCUGUUCAUUACCUUUUCUUUCUUCCACCUCGACACCCCCACCUUCAUGGCCGCCCUCCUCUCUGCUCCCCUCUACUGGCUCAUCUCCCGCCCCCUUCACUCUUCCUCCCGCUCACCACCACCCUCCUCCUCCUCCUCCUCCUCGCCUCCCGAGUCAGACUCUGCUCUGAAUUUUUCAUUAGAUGCCACCUGCUGCCUGACAGAGCCAAAGGACGCCGCCGCCAGAGGGCCCGGCUCCCGACAUAAAGAGAGGAAUAGAAGCAGAGAAAGAGCCAGAAUAAAGAUGCGUGGAGACAAUAAACCUGCCACUGUGAGAUCAGCUGGAGCUUUUCUCCUGCUUUUUUUUUUUUUUUUUACAAAAGGCAAAAUUGUUCAAGAGUUAAUUGCUUUCAAUUACUGUAAUUGCUUUCUGUAAUUUGGCAUUCUCUGUGAAGCAUUUAGCUGAAACUUUUAAUUUUUUUUUAGAAAUGCUUUUAUCCAAAAAAUGAAAUACGUCUCCGUGUUAUUCAAAGAAACGAUUUGGAACUAUUUGGUUAGCACAGUUAGCUCUGCCAGCCACGCCGCCGUCGCCUGAACCGUUCGCUAACCGUUAGCACCAUUAGCUCUGAGCCUUCGCCUAGACGUCGCCAUGUUGAGAGCCGCGUGCUCUGUUAAAAAUCCCCCCCCCGUCUCCCACCUCACGCUGCCCACCGGGUUGCUCCAGUAGGCGGGAACCUGCUCCUCUUUGACCCCGCUAAUGUUAGCGACGCAGCGGUCUCUGUUGACCCCGCUAAUGUUAGCGACGCAGCGGUCUCUGUUGACCCCGCUAAUGUUAGCGACGCAGCGGUCUCUGUUGACCCCGCUAAUGUUAGCGACGCAGCGGUCUCUGUUGACCCCGCUAAUGUUAGCGACGCAGCGGUCUCUCCCCACGGGCGAAACCAAUGAGGAAACGGACAAAAGGGAAAAAGCGCCGUCGCUGGCUGUGGAAAACAAACAGGCGCAGCGUAAUUGCCGUUCACUCCCACGCGGCCGAAUGCAGAGAGAAACUAGACAUUAUCUCCUGUUGGAUGAAAGAGGCCCCAGCUGGCUAAUAAAUGAUGAUGAAACGAUGAAGGUAAGAAGGCGAACUGGCAUAAUUCCAGUAUGGAAACCUGUACGUAGACACGAGUCUGACGGAAGCGAACCACGUCGCACCACGUCCCCCCCUUUCUUCAUCCGCGCUGCAAUGGAUCCGAUGAAGACUUUUACCAAAUAAGAUACAAACUGUAGUCUGACCGCCAAUCAGCUGUCUGGCUCGUAAAAUAGAGAAGUGCCUGAUAUUAUAUCAUCAUCACCAUGUUUUACACAGAGGGCACACCGCGUCAUGUGUUUGACGAUGGCACGAACUUCAGUGUGUUUUUAAGCAUCUUUUAUAUCAGAUUGUUAUUUUAUUUUUGGGGCGCUCCUUUAAGAACCCCUUUUGUAGUUUACGAGCGGCUAUCAAUGCUUUUGUACCCCGUGCCAUGAUGUGUUUUAAAGUAUAUAAAAAGAAACGGAAGCUGAUGUGCAAUUGUUUUUGUUUUUGUUUUCCAUUUCACGUGAUAUCUAAAGAAAUGUAUGCAGCCACUUUUCCUGUACAUAUCAUUUAGAAUAAAACGGAAGGCUGCUUCCUGUUUACAUCCUCUGCCUGCUUCUGCCUUUUCUUCCCGCGGAGCCGCGAUCAGACGAGUCCUUAAUGAAGCAGCGGGGGACUCGUCAAACGUCAAACCUGUCAGCUCCGCCUGCUGACGUCUUCUUCCGAGGCCGCCGGAGAGGAUGGAGAGCGCGCUGAUGACACCA
ensembl:lncRNA